GUCAAAAUUUAGGACCUUUGAGCGCCGAGAACAUUUGGAAGAAAAUUUUAAAAAGAUGCAUCUUCAAAGUUCAUCCAAGUCACAAUUUUUAGAGGUUAACCAUUAUAGGUUAAAAUAAGGUCUCCAUGCAACAUGGAGCCUCGGCUUACACCGAAGAGAAAGACACAAAGGCCGCAAAAAUGACGUGUAAAUCUUAAUUAAAAAAACACCCGAAAACUAGAAACAC
rnacentral:lncRNA from 1 species